AGCGAACGCUGGCGGCAGGCCUAACACAUGCAAGUCGAACGGAUCCUUCGGGAUUAGUGGCGGACGGGUGAGUAACACGUGGGAACGUGCCCUUUGGUUCGGAACAACUCAGGGAAACUUGAGCUAAUACCGGAUGUGCCCUUCGGGGGAAAGAUUUAUCGCCAUUGGAGCGGCCCGCGUCUGAUUAGCUAGUUGGUGAGGUAACGGCCCACCAAGGCGACGAUCAGUAGCUGGUCUGAGAGGAUGAUCAGCCACACUGGGACUGAGACACGGCCCAGACUCCUACGGGAGGCAGCAGUGGGGAAUCUUGCGCAAUGGGCGAAAGCCUGACGCAGCCAUGCCGCGUGAAUGAUGAAGGUCUUAGAAUUGUAAAAUUCUUUCAGCGGGGACGAUAAUGACGGUACCCGCAGAAGAAGCUCCGGCUAACUUCGUG
rnacentral:rRNA from 1 species